GUCUACGGACAUACCAUCCUGAACAUGCCUGAUCGCGGAAGCUAAGCAGGGUCAGGCCUGGUUAGUACUUAGAUCAGAGAAUGCCAGGACUUCACC
rnacentral:rRNA from 1 species